rnacentral:rRNA from 1 species
UGGGGAAUCUUCCGCAAUGGACGAAAGUCUGACGGAGCAACGCCGCGUGAGUGAAGAAGGUUUUCGGAUCGUAAAACUCUGUCUUUUGGGGCGAACGUGAGUAUGGUGAACAAUCAUAGUCAGUGACGGUACCAAAGGAGGAAGCCACGGCUAACUACGUGCCAGCAGCCGCGGUAAUACGUAGGUGGCAAGCGUUGUCCGGAAUUAUUGGGCGUAAAGAGCGCGUAGGCGGGAUAGUCAGUCUGUUGUAAAGUGCGGGGCUCAACCCCGUGAUCGCAAUGGAAACAGCUAUUCUUGAGUGCAGGAGAGGAAAGUGGAAUUCCCAGUGUAGCGGUGAAAUGCGUAGAUAUUGGGAGGAACACCAGUGGCGAAGGCGACUUUCUGGACUGUGUCUGACGCUGAGGCGCGAAAGCCAGGGGGAGCGAACGGGAUUAGAUACCCCCGGUAGUCCUGGCCGUAAACGAUGGGUACUAGGUGUGGGAGGUAUCGACCCCCUUUCCGUGCCGGAGUUAACGCAAUAAGUACCCCCGCCUGGGGAGUACGGUCGCAAGACUGAAACUCAAAUGAAUUGACGGGGGUCAUAGCUGUUUCCUG